UACAGGGGGUGCAAACGUUGCUCGGAAUCAUUGGGCGUAAAGCGCACGUAGGCGGUUCGUUAUGUCGGAUGUGAAAGCCCUUGGCUUAACCGAGGAAGUGCAUCCGAAACUGGCGAGCUAGAGUACGAAAGAGGAUCGCGGAAUUCCCGGUGUAGAGGUGAAAUUCGUAGAUAUCGGGAGGAACACCGGUGGCGAAGGCGGCUCACUGGCUCAUUUCUGACGCUCAGGCGCGACAGCGUGGGGAUCAAACAGG
rnacentral:rRNA from 1 species